GAGCCCUUGGUGCCUGCCGGGGAUGUGCCCCGUGAGGUGCCUUUGUUCAGCCGGCGAGGCGGGAUGUCCCCGGUGCGCCGAUGGCGGCAAGUCACAUCCUGGCAGAGGGACCACAAUGCUUGGCCGCAGCUGGAGAAUGAAUCUUUCAGUGCAGCGUCUCCUGGGAUUUCUCCGGCUCCCCAGCCAUCUGCGGGUCAAUGAGAGACAACCGGUAGCAUCUGGCAGACAUAGUCACAGGAGGAAAGAGAAAGGGACAAUCACAUGUAAUAGGGCAAUGUCGAUCCCUCAGGAAGACUAAUUAAAGCAAUGCGGAAAAAGAAGAAUACACCAAAGUGGCAUGAACUAUACACUGAGAGCCUCACAGCUUCAUCUUGCACUCUGCAUUUUACUCAGCAGCAUCCUCAGCCUUUACUCUGCCCAUGACAUCACCUGUGACAAACUUCUAAAGGCUAUCUGGGACAUACAGUUGUUAGUAAGAUGUUUUGAAGGCAAAAGGUUUGUGCAAGUAUAACUCAGAGCAUAAACUGGUCUGAAGAAUCUUAA